rnacentral:tRNA from 1 species
CAGGGAGACAACAAAAUGUUUAAUAUUAUUAUUUUGUCACCUUAGGUCGAUCGGUAUCUCACGUUUUUAAUUUUUUAAGAAUUUCAUUUCCUAAGUUUUUCUAGGUCACACCCAUUAUUUUUCCUGGGCCAUUAGCUCAGGUGGUUAGAGCGCACCCCUGAUAAGGGUGAGGUCCCUGGUUCAAGUCCAGGAUGGCCCAUAUCUCUAUGUUGGGGGUAUAGCUCAGUUGGUAGAGCGCCUGCUUUGCAAGCAGGAUGUCAGCGGUUCGAGUCCGCUUACCUCCACUGAUCACCACCUCUUCCAUAAUUGGUAGAAAGGAAAUUUUUUGAGUUGUGAUCAAAUUCUGAAAGAAUCUAGCUUCCUAAUGAAAUCAUUAAGAUGCUGGACUCAUUGAAUUAAUUUCAUUGUUUUCAGAGAACCUUGACAACUGCAUAGAUUAUUUUUAAAGACAAUAAGCAUCUUUAGUGAUGCAGAUUUAUUAUUUGUGCAAAUGCAUUAAUAACAAUUCUAUUAAGCUGAUGCUUCAAUAUUUGAAGUUAUU